CAAACUUCUUCCAAAUUAAGUAAAUAAAUCCUUAUUUAAUUUAAUUAGUCAGUUAAUUAAAUUCGGGCUGUUACAGUUUGUAUGCCUUGAAGGAUCAAUUAAAUAGUAAUGUAACAAUAAUGAUUCACAAAAAGGCCAAAUGGGAUUUGCCUUUGGAAGCAGAGGCAUCCAAUCAGCCACUGAGUUGCCUGGUGUUUUUCCUUGGCUGGUAUGUUUCAGAGAAUAUAAUUUGUCAAUAUAUAAGAUGGUACCAAGUACCAACCUGACAGGUUUAUUCCUCAAAAUUUGUUUGCUCAUUUGCCGUGUUUUUUAAUCUGACAGCUGGUUUUUCUUUAAUUUUAUUGGACUGAAUGCAGGUAUUUGUUAUGGUUCAUGGUGUGGCUGUUGGAUAAUUGAUACGGUGCAGGUUUUGUGUUAAAGUUGUAUUGGGCUGAAAAACUAUAAUUGAACAUGUAUUGAACUAGAGUAGAUAGAGGGUAUUCUACUACUGUUAUUUGAAAAUCUUUGGUAGAUAUAACCUAUUAGUACUCACAUUUUCUUCAUCCCUGCCAAAUUUAGAAUGAAAGAAAGAAAAUGGUGACAGUUUAUGAGAUCCACCAAGAACAGAAGGUUGAAGCACCUACACUGUGUUUGCAAUAGGCACUUUUAAACAUAUGUCAUUUGUUUCAAAGUUCCUGAGCAAUUCUGAUCCACUGUUAUUCAUUGUUUCAAUUCUAUUGCGAAUUAUCGAAAAUGUUUAAUGGUAUGAUGGAUCCUGAUUUGAUCAGAAUCGCUCACGAACAAAUGAGUCGCAUGUCUCCUGCUGAUAUGGCUCGGAUCCAACAACAGGAUUGUGAUUUUGCAUGUCGAUUCGUUGAAUUAUGUUAAUAAAAACACAAUUUAAUUGCAAAUUCAAUAUAUUUUGUUAUUUUGAUUUGGAAUUUAAAUUUGAAGCUGAAUGGCUCGGAUCUCAUGUAUUGGUUUUCAAUUUCAAUAUAUAAUCUAUAGAUUCUUCCAACAAUAAUUGAACUCUUUGCCUCCAAUGAUUGAGCUGUCUGUGUUAGCCUUCUCCAAAAUUUAAGUCUAUUGUGAUGUAUUAGUGUGUAUGUUGGCUAAUACAUUGCUUUCACUUUUGAGUUUUCAAACUUUUAAUAGAUGCUAAUCACCAUUCUAAAACGUCGAAUUGUUAGCUGCUAUUUUGCACUGGAUUGAAAUAGAGCUCCUGGUGGAAGCCACACUCAUUUCACAUGAUUCUUAUACUUAAGUCUCAGGCAUCAUUGCCUUUUACGGAAUGAAAGAAUUAGAUAACUCGAAAUGGAGGUGAAAGUUUUUGAAACUUGAAAUAGGUGGAUUAUUUAAUGAGCAUGUUUAAUUUUUCUAUUAAUUUUAGUUGCAUGUUUAAGUUGUAACCAUUUAAAGAUCUUUUUGUAUUUAGAGUAUUCACAAACCACUGCUUGAUGAUUGACGACCAAAGCAAGAGACAAUGUAGUAACUAAGUCAUUUUCAAACUUCAUGAUUUACAUCUAUUGUUGAGUUAUUAUAGUUUUGUCAUACUAUUUUGUGUAACUUGAAGUAAAUAUCAUAAUUAUAAGGUUUUCUUAAUUGUUUGAUUGUAAGUUUUGAAAACAAAAAGUGUUUAUUCUGGGAUAUAUUUAUUCAGUGUGUACGGUGACCCAAUUACUAUUAAGGAGCUUGUUGAUCGCGUGGCUAGCUAUGCGCACCUUUGUACAUUAUAUUGGUGGCUCAGGUUAGUAAACCUUUUGUCUUGUAGGUGGUUAUAACAGAGAUGGACCACAAUUGUACAUUGUUGAACCUUAUGGUGUCUCUUAUAGGUACUUUGUUGUUGCAAUUGGAAAGGGCGGGCAGGCUGCGAAAUUCUGCUGAAGGUUAAGUAAGAUUGGAGUAAAUCUUGCAUGGAACUUCUCUUACUACACAUAGCUUAUAUGUAGACAAUUAUUAGAAUGGUAGAUAUUAAGCCUUCAAGCCCUUCUGUUGUUCCUUGCAACCAUUCAUGACUCAACCUGCAUGUGUGUUUUGCAAAAUACUUAGAUGUAUGGUUGUUUGGCCUUAGGUUUAUGGUCUAUUAUGUACUAUACACAUCAUUCUAUAUUUUAUGUAAGCACUAGCAAUGAUUUGAGUAAACCAUGUUUUAAAAUGUCUACAAACAACUGCAUCAUGUAUUUUAAAAUUUAAAUAGAAUUGUUCUUUUGUAACUAUACCAAUUUUUCUUUUCGAUAGACCACUUGACUUGGUAUCUAACCUUCAAUUUGCCUUCUAACCUCAGAUAAGUUGAUCUGGUAUACUAGACAAAUGUUAUCAUAUAAUGCAUAAGUUGUGAUAAGCCAUCAAGAUGACUACAUCAUCACUACAUCAUAAUAAACUGCAAUUUUUUAUGAGUCAUUGAUAGUGUAAGAUACUUAGACAUUUUAUAUGCUUUUGUCAUGAUUUAUUCAGCUCAUUAAUUUGAGCCGAUGUUUUCAUUUGUGAAAAAGUAUUAAAUACUGUCCUAUAGGAUAUUCCAAGUAAUAGCUAUAAAAACAUUUAUAAUUUUAUAAACAAAUUGAAUGUUUAACAAAUUUUAAAUUAUUUUUUUUCUCAAAUUCUUUUUGUUAUUUUUGUUGGCACUAAUAAUUCUAUUAAAGUUUAAUAUAUCAUGUUGAAAACAAUAUUUAAUGAUCACAUCAGUACACGAGGGUUUAUAUCUAUUGAUGAGAAUAAGGUUUAACUCUUGGAAAUUUUAUCACUGAAAUUUACUAUUUUUACGGGUCAAUAUCACCACAUUACCGGGUCACUAUCACCACAAUACCGUUUUCAAUAAAAUCAACAAAAUACUUAUAAAUAUUUUUAUUUAUUAGACAUAUUGAAUUUAUCAUGUUGGCGAUUUAUUACAUAUUUAUUUUUUAAAUAUUUUCAGUUAAAAUUAUUUUAUAAUAACAAUUAUAUUAACAACAAUAAAACCUUAUCGAAAUGAUCUAAGAUAUGAAUAAACUUAUCCGUGUUGACUUAUCUUAAACUUUUUUUUGUGGAUCAUUAUUUUAACUUAGAACCUAAUUUUUAUACUACUACUAUCUUAUUAUAAUAUUUUAUUAGUAAAAAAAAUUUAAAUGGUUAAUUUCCAUUUGAUAUAUGCAAUUUGGUUAAACUUCUUUACUUCACAUUUUUCGUAUUGUUCAUAAAAUACUACACCACAAAUAGUGCACCCAGGAGACAGCACAGGUCUCUGACUAGUUACUUUAUAUUGCUCGUUCACUAUUCCUGAUUUAAACAAUUUUAAAAAAUAAAUAAAUAUGUCCAUUGUUUAAAAUAUCAUUGAAUUAGAAAUCAGACUUUUGAUCAGAAAUAAAGUAUGUAUUUAACAUAGUAAGGGUUGAGCCAACCUCAAUAUUCUAAUUCGACUUUCCACAAAUUUUACAAGUUAAAGAUGCCUUUUGAGAAGAAAAAAAAACAUAAU